UACGGAGGAUCCAAGCGUUAUCCGGAAUCAUUGGGUUUAAAGGGUCCGUAGGCGGUUUGGUAAGUCAGUGGUGAAAGCCCAUCGCUCAACGGUGGAACGGCCAUUGAUACUGCCAGACUUGAAUUAUUAGGAAGUAACUAGAAUAUGUAGUGUAGCGGUGAAAUGCUUAGAGAUUACAUGGAAUACCAAUUGCGAAGGCAGGUUACUACUAAUGGAUUGACGCUGAUGGACGAAAGCGUGGGUAGCGAACAAG
rnacentral:rRNA from 1 species